AACGUAGGAACCGAGCGUUAUCCGGAUUCACUGGGUGUAAAGCGCGUGCAGGUGGCUUCGUAAGUUGGACGUGAAAUCUCCUGGCUUAACUGGGAGAGGCCGUUCAAUACUGCGGGGCUUGAGGGCAGGAGAGGGAGGUGGAAUUCCCGGUGUAGUGGUGAAAUGCGUAGAUAUCGGGAGGAACACCAGUGGCGAAGGCGGCCUCCUGGCCUGCUCCUGACACUGAGACGCGAAAGCUAGGGGAG
rnacentral:rRNA from 1 species